GUGCACGCUGGCGGUAGGCCUAACACAUGCCAGUCGAACGGCAGCACCGUAAGAGCUUGCUCUUACGGGUGGCGAGUGGCGGACGGGUGAGGAAUACAUCGGAAUCUACUUUUUCGUGGGGGAUAACGUAGGGAAACUUACGCUAAUACCGCAUACGACCUACGGGUGAAAGCAGGGGAUCUUCGGACCUUGCGCGAUUGAAUGAGCCGAUGUCGGAUUAGCUAGUUGGCGGGGUAAAGGCCCACCAAGGCGACGAUCCGUAGCUGGUCUGAGAGGAUGAGCCCCCCCGCUGGGAGGGCGACACGGGCCAGCUGCAGUGGGGAGGGAGGUGGGGUGAAUAGGGGACAACGGGCGGAAGGCGGUGCCAGCGAUGGCGUGUGGAGGAGGAAGGUUUGGGGUUUGUAAAGCCCUUGUGUGGGAAAACAAAAGCAGCUUGUAAACCCCCGGCUGUUCGGACGGUACCCAAAGAAUAAGCACCGGAUAACUGCGUGCCAGCAGCGGCGUUAAUGAUCGAGGAGCAAACGGCUGAGC
rnacentral:rRNA from 1 species